rnacentral:lncRNA from 1 species
CUCUCUUUACAGAGAUCCCCUUGGCUCCACAAGGAUAGAGAGUUCUUUGCUGAGAGAGUCACUGCCGCACGCUCAGAUGAAAGGUAUUCAUUCUGCUUGGCAGAGUCAUCGGUAGAGUAGCUGCUGAUCCCAGCAAGGCAGGGUGGGUGAUGGGAAGGGAUUAGAUUAGGAAGAAAAGGGAUCCUCUUGUUCUCUCACUGAGGGGACUUUAAACCUGCAGAAGCACAUCAGUGAGCGGACUAUGGAGACCCUCAUGCCCCAGGAAUGGCUCAGCUCUGGCGUAAUUCUGCAGAACAGUACAGGGGCCCGUGUGCAUGCAACCUGUGUCGAGGUCUCUGCAGGGCUGUGAACUAGAAAUCAACACUGCAGUGCCCCAAGUUCCCCAAGAAUGACGAGCAGCUCUCCAUCAAAGGAGGACAGAUUCUGCCGCUGACUGUAAGCCCUGGAAACCAGUCUGGAGGAACGCAGGUGGCUGUGGGUCUGCCAAGAAGCCAGAACACUUACUGAGCUGUGACCUGGCCAAAGCACAGCUCCACCUCCUAUCAAAGCUGAUGAUGUACCCAAGGGGAGAGGGAGAGCCUGAAGGUGAAAAAGACAGCCUCCCCAUUGACAUCACUGCAGCUGUAGUGGCAGGAGAUGGAGACAAGGAUCACGAGACUAAGUGUCAGUCAGGGUUUGUGAAAUAACAGUACAGAAGAGGAAUGCCUUCUCUAUUUGUGGGGAACACCACGGGAAAAGAAAAAGAAGGUGAUAUGGUUUGGCUGUGUCCCUACCCAAAUCUCAUCUUGAAUUGUAGCUCCCACAAUUCCCACAUGUUAUGGGAGGGACUCGGUGGAAGGUAAUUGAAUCAGGGGGGUAGGUCUUUCUCAUGCUGUUCUCGUGAUAGUGAGUAAGUCUCAUGAGAUGUGAUGGUUUUGUAAGGGAGAGAUUCCCUGCAUAAGCUCUCUUUUUGCCCACUGCCAUCCAUGUAAGACAUGACUUGCUGCUCCUUGCCUUCCGCCAUGAUUGUGAGGCCUCCCCAGUCAUGUGGAACUGUGAGUCCGUUAAACCUCUUUCCUGUAUAAAUUACCCAGUUUUGGGUAUGUCUUUAUUAGAAGCGUGAAAACAGACUAAUAUAGAAGGCCACACUAUAGCUGGGAAUGUAGGGUUUCUUUGCCAAAGUUUAUAAGAACUGAAAAUCAAAGAGCAAGAAAUAACUACUAAAUUCUAAUAAGAAAUGACAUUGGCUAUUAUUAAAACUAAAUGACAGUGUGUGCUCCUAAAUCACUCGGUAUUCCUGGCAUCUUGCAAUCUGAUAAAAUGGCACGUACACGAAAGGUUCAAUAAAAGCUUACAGAGGGG